rnacentral:rRNA from 1 species
UACGGAAGGCAGCAGUGGGGAAUAUUGCACAAUGGGCGCAAGCCUGAUGCAGCCAUGCCGCGUGUAUGAAGAAGGCCUUCGGGUUGUAAAGUACUUUCAGUCGUGAGGAAGGUGUUAAGGUUAAUAACCUUAGCAAUUGACGUUAGCGACAGAAGAAGCACCGGCUAACUCCGUGCCAGCAGCCGCGGUAAUACGGAGGGUGCGAGCGUUAAUCGGAAUUACUGGGCGUAAAGGGCACGCAGGCGGUUAAUUAAGUUGGAUGUGAAAUCCCCGGGCUUAACCUGGGAAUGGCAUUCAAGACUGGUUAGCUAGAGUCUUGUAGAGGGGGUAGAAUUCCAUGUGUAGCGGUGAAAUGCGUAGAGAUGUGGAGGAAUACCGGGUGGCGAAGGCGGCCCCGUGGACAAAGACUGACGCUCAUGUGCGAAAGCGUGGGGAGCAAACAGGGAUUAGAUACC